UCUCCCAAUAACAAUAUCUCUCCCACGUUCUCUCCCCCAAUAACAAAUUUCUCUCUUUCAGUCCAACAUGGUUUUCUCGCAACAACAAUUAUAUCUCUCACACGCCCAAUACGGUUCUCUCGCAAUAUCUAUGAAGCAACAAUGAAUUCUCAAAAAUUAAUGCAAUUUUCUCAAACUACUCUCCAUCCAUUUAUGCACAAGGAUGCGGUUGUUUUCGAUUAUUGAAGCACAUGGAAGAGGCAAGGGCAUAUGACAAGAAUGAUGGAAAACAUGCAUUCAAUGUUUAAUGAUCAAGAGAUGAAGAACAUGUGACCAGAUUUGAGAGCGACAACAUGAACGACACAUUUGGUGAUGAUCAAGACGUCAAACUGUCGAGGAAGAAGAAAUCUACCGGCCCUGGAUGCAAUUCGUUGCCCCAUCGUCUUUCUAUUCCCGUAGCACACCCUCCUCAUCUCUCCAAUUUUGAAAUCACGAAAAUGCGUGGCUACAUCUGAAAUUAAGCCUCUAUCUUAAAGUUGAUAGGUGUUGCUCCAAUUUCAAGCGACCAAUCGGCUGUUUCCAGCAAUUGAAUGGGGGAAAGUUUGGGCUCGCUUCAGGGAUUGUAAAUUCGAUGACAAAAGAUGGAGAAAUUUUGAGGCGUGGAGUAUAUAUCCUCAAGAAAUUGAAAGUGAUUUGGAUGUAAAGCUAUGGUU